rnacentral:rRNA from 1 species
UGGGUAACCUGCCUGUAAGACUGGGAUAACUCCGGGAAACCGGUCGAAAUACCGGAUAGUUCCUUGAACCGCAUGGGUCAAGGAUGAAAGACGGUUUCGGCUGUCACUUACAGAUGGACCCGCGGCGCAUUAGCUAGUUGGUGAGGUAACGGCUCACCAAGGCGACGAUGCGUAGCCGACCUGAGAGGGUGAUCGGCCACACUGGGACUGAGACACGGCCCAGACUCCUACGGGAGGCAGCAGUAGGGAAUCUUCCGCAAUGGACGAAAGUCUGACGGAGCAACGCCGCGUGAGUGAUGAAGGUUUCCGGAUCGUAAAGCUCUGUUGUUAGGGAAGAACAAGUGCAAGAGUAACUGCUUGCACCUUGACGGUACCUAACCAGAAAGCCACGGCUAACUACGUGCCAGCAGCCGCGGUAAUACGUAGGUGGCAAGCGUUGUCCGGAAUUAUUCGGGCGUAAAGGGCUCGCAGGCGGUUUCGUAAGUCUGAUGUGAAAGCCCACGGCUCAACCGGGAAGGGUCAUUGGAAACUGGGAAACUUGAGUGCAGAAGAGGAGAGUGGAAUUCCACGUGUAGCGGUGAAAUGCGUAGAGAUGUGGAGGAACACUGAC